GUAGUCACCCGGCUUAAAUUUGGGGGCUCUUGAAACAGAGUGGGCAUCACCGGAGGAUCACUAAGUGCCCAGGGAUCAGCCAGGCAGUGGAAAUCAAAAGCCGAGCAUGGAUGAAGCUUUGGAUUCAGAAAGAAAAUAAACCAUUUGGAGACCAUUCGCCUC
rnacentral:lncRNA from 1 species